CAGUUAUCAGAUCUACGCAUUGGGAAAAAAAUCCUCUACAAGCAAAUACCCCAGGUGUAACACCAUGCUGUGAAAUACAUAGAACUAAGGGGAGAUUCUGGUCCCGUGCUGGUCCUCAGCCCUACGGUCACUUAUCCGGGAGGUUUGGCACGAGUGAUACGUUUUCAAGGGCUUGCUCUGAAUCAAGAACGGACACUAUCCCUCCCAUACACUGAGUGCUCUGGACUUGAACUUUGGUGCAUCCGCAGUUGCCAGUUCUCAUGGUAGCUGUUGUGCUUCGUGUAACAUCAGAUAUCAUAUCCCCGUAGAGAGAGACCCUGUCUGCAGCGCGAGCACUAAGCAGACAAGAAAGCCUUCUACCAAGACACUGGAGGAGAAGUAGCCGCUCUUUUGGGAAACCCUUCCAGUCAGAAGAAAAGGCAGUGAGUCGAAGACUCCA